rnacentral:rRNA from 1 species
AUGACGGUACUGUUUGUAAGCUCCGGCUAACUCCGUGCCAGCAGCCGCGGUAAUACGGGGGGAGCAAGCGUUGUUCGGAUUUACUGGGCGUAAAGGGCGCGUAGGCGGCCACCGCAAGUCGACUGUGAAAUCUCCGGGCUUAACCCGGAAAGGUCAGCCGAUACUGCGGGGCUAGAGUGCAGAAGGGGCAACUGGAAUUCUCGGUGUAGCGGUGAAAUGCGUAGAUAUCGAGAGGAACACCUGCGGCGAAGGCGGGUUGCUGGGCUGACACUGACGCUGAUGCGCGAAAGCUAGGGGAGCGAACGGGAUUAGAUACCCCGGUAGUCCUAGCCUUAAACGAUGAAUGCUUGGUGUCUGGGGUUUUAUAGUCCCCGGGUGCCGUCGCUAACGCUUUAAGCAUUCCGCCUGGGGAGUACGGUCGCAAGACUGAAACUCAAAGGAAUUGACGGGGACCCGCACAAGCGGUGGAGCAUGUGGUUUAAUUCGACGCAACGCGAAGAACCUUACCUGGGCUAGAAUGC